rnacentral:misc_RNA from 1 species
AAGUCGUAACAAGGUCUCCGUAGGUGAACCUGCGGAGGGAUCAUUAACAAAUCAAACACACACCCUGUGUAAGCGUCUGUUCCUGGCUGGGUCAAGUGGGGAGUGCGCACAAAAGUUGGGGUCAUGGGGGGAAGCGGGCAACCGCCGAUACUCCGCCCGCCGAGUCGCGCCCACCAGGAUCAACAACCAAACCAUAUCAUGAUUGUCAGCUGUAUUACAAAGUGUAAUUACAAACAACUUUUAACAAUGGAUCUCUUGGCUCUU